GGGGGUGUACCGGAUUCGACUGGUCAGGCUCGGGGUUGAUUGCAUGUCGAGGAUGAUCGUUGGCCUCGUAAAUCAUCGGUCAAACAAAUAACUGCGAACGAACAAGAGUUUGCUCUGGCUGCUUAAUUAAUGCGGCCGCGUGUUCUCUCCGACGGGUGUUAAGGGAGCAACACGUCAGCUAACGCCCUGGGUUGUAAAUUUUUUUCCUGUUUGCAGCUGAGAUACUAAGGGAAAUAGUCCGGAAGCCCGCAGGGUUGCCGGCUAAGCGGACGGACGAUAAGCCUUUAUCGGUAACCUAAACAUGUAGAAGUCAACUUCAAACUUCAUCAGCACGCGGGUUCAACUCCCGCCACCUCCACCA
rnacentral:tmRNA from 1 species